CGGCUGCGGCUGAUGUUCGGGGGUGGGCGGCAGGUGAGUGCGGAGGAGCAGCGCAGCUGAAGUGAGUGAGGAGGACAAGUGAUGGAGUAAAGCGCGUGUGCGUGUGUUGCAGGAGAGCGCGCGCGGCACCUACCCGCAUCUGCAGUGCCCGCCCACCUUCCAGCCCGAGAGCUACUCGCUGGCGCACGCCGCCGCGCGCCGCCCCCGCACGCACCGCCCGCAUCACCCGCAUCACCCGCACCACACGCAUCACCCGCAUCACCCGCACGACUGACGCUCAGAAUUUGUGAGAGAGGACGGAGAGGGACGCGCGGGAGGAUGCGAGGGCGCAGGGCGCAGGGCGCAGGGCGCAGGGCGCAGGGCGCAGGGCGCGAGGCUCCACAUAUUGUAUGCGACAUAUUGAACGUAUAAGUUCCGAGGCGAGACACGCGCUGCUUUAACAACACAGACCGUUAAUCACAGACGUAGUACACUUUGUACGACAAACACGUAGCCGUCCGAUUUACUUUAUUAGCAAGGAUUUACUGUGAAAUGUACGUAUGGAGCUGUGAUGUGUGGGGUGAGGGGGGUGAGGGUGGGUGAGGGGGGGGGGCAGGUGAAUGAGAAACGUCCAGUAUUUUGUACAAUAACUUAGGCUGUGUCUGUGUCUAGUUCCAAGUGAAAGAGCAAAUGUUGUCGACGUGCAGCUGCGCAUUUGAGGACAGUUGACACUUCUUCAUAUGUUUAUAUGAUUUUUUUGGAAUGAAAUAAAUACUCUUUGUACUGUAGCUGCCGUGUAUUUCUUCUUUUAUGUCAUUUUCUAUGUCUCAGUAGAAUUUAUAUAUGUUCUGUUAGAAUGAACCGCGACAGCGGCGCCUCUCAGAGAUAUUCUUCUUUAGUUAUAUUUUUAUCUUAAACGUUUAUAGUUGAGUUGAGUAGGUGGUAGGUGUGGCGAGAUGUGCAGCUUGUUCAUCGUUACCAACAUUUAGAGGUUUGCUCGGAACUAGAGACAGACGUAUAGAGUUAGAGUUAGCUGUUCAGGUUACGACACAAACGUACGUACAAUUUCAAUGUUGUGUCAUUUUUUUAAGAUCAAUAUUUUGAUUGUACAAUGAGUUAUAUUAACGCGAUGCUUUCAAUAUUUACAAUGAAAUUAAGCUGUAAUUAUAUUA